UUUAAAAAAAAAGUAAGAAUUCAUAGUAUUUGUUGCUGAAUAUAAGUUGAAAAUAUAUAAGCCAACCAAAUACGAUAAAAUUUAAUGGAUUACCAAUUCAACAUUUUUAAAGGUAGCAAUUUAUCAGCGACUAUCACAAAAUAAACUGAGGAUUAAAUUCUAGAACAUUCUUCCGUGCACACAAAUUAAGCGAUUCGAACCCUGCGUUGCUAAUGCAAAUAAUGCAUUUCAAAUUUAUUACGCAAAUUAAUCAUUACGAAUUCGCGGCGAAGUAUACGAAAUAUCCUGUAUUUUUAUAUACAUUACAGCGAAUACGCGAUAACUGAGUAUGCAGGUUAGAAACCAUUUUAAAAAAGGUUCAAUUAUAGUAAAGGCGAUUCUUUUAAGCGAUGCGAUAUUUAACGCUGCUUAUUUACAAAAAGACAAUAAAUAGAUAAUAUAUAUGGAACGAAACGAUGAAAUUGUUC